rnacentral:rRNA from 1 species
GAAGAAGGCCUUAGGGUUGUAAAGCACUUUCAGAGGUGAGGAAGGGUGCGUAGUUAAUACCUGCGUAUUUUGACGUUAGCCUCAGAAGAAGCACCGGCUAACUCUGUG